CGGGAUUUCAUCUCGCGCGCUAAGGAUUGUUGGAAAAAGAAGGCAGCCAUCUCAGUCAAAUCCAAUGCCUCGUGGUACGACACGUCACACCACAACUUUCCCGAUUGACAAACUCAAGUCAUCUAUUCACCUGGAGUCAGCUGAAAAGUCGUGGGCUCAAGUAUUUGUGUGAACAGUGCUACUAGUGUUCCAGUGACAGAGUGAAUGUGGCAAUGCAAGGCCUGCCCUUCAGUUUUUCAAAAUAAACGCAGAGUUCAAGCGCAUUACAACCAUGCCUCUACAGUCAAGGUUUCUGUCGCAGCUUGACUUUCUGUCUGAAAGUCUGCUGAGAGUGUUUGCAAAGCCAUCGGGGAAGCAGGGCAAAAUGUUGAAAGACAUGACAGACAU